AACGAACGCUGGCGGCAUGCCUAACACAUGCAAGUCGAACGAGACCUUCGGGUCUAGUGGCGCAUGGGUGCGUAACGCGUGGGAACCUGCCCUUAGGUUUGGAAUAACUCCCCGAAAGGGGUGCUAAUACAGGAUAAUGUCUUCGGACCAAAGAUUUAUCGCCUUUGGAUGGGCCCGCGUUGGUUUAGCUAGUUGGUAGGGUAAAAGCCUACCAAGGCGACGAUCCAUAGCUGGUCUGAGAGGAUGAUCAGCCACACUGGGACUGAGACACGGCCCAGACUCCUGCGGGAGGCAGCAGUGGGGAAUAUUGGACAAUGGGCGAAAGCCUGAUCCAGCAAUGCCGCGUGAGUGAUGAAGGCCUUAGGGUUGUAAAGCUCUUUUACCCGGGAUGAUAAUGACAGUACCGGGAGAAUAAGCUCCGGCUAACUCCGUG
rnacentral:rRNA from 1 species